ensembl:lncRNA
AUCUUUUUUCUUACUAUUCAACAUUUAUUUGUUGACAAAAAUCAAUGGUGAGGACAUGAAGUAAUGUUUCAGAAGACGAAUGUGUCCUCUUUGCUCAUCUCUUGUGUGCCACAAUGUGUAUGUGAAAUGUGACAAGGGCCCAAUUAUAUCCAAACAAACUGUUUUAUGUUGCAGUGAAACCAUGGCAACCGGUACAGUUGCAUCGCCGGCCUUGAAAAAUGAAAAUGGCGCCAGUGAGGCACGGGAGCGGCUGUAGGUGUUUAGGAAUCAGCAUGACACCGAAGAGAAUGAGGAGCAAGGCAUCACUACUACCAACCCGUCACUGGCCUUCUUUAGGGCCAGCCCCGUGAAUUAGCACUCCUUUGGCUUCUGUAAAAGCUGAAGUGAAAUGUCGUGUCUAGUGAGAUGAAAAAUAAAAAAAAUUAAAAAGUUAAAAAAAUGCAACCAAACAUACGCAGUCAGAAAAAAAAUGAAGUAAUUGAAACCCACACGUGUGCUGAUCCAAGCACAGGUCUCUGUAGCCCACUUCCACUGCCUUGGCAGAGGUAGCGGUAGGCUGACGGAGCCUUGCUGGAAGAGUGUGGAGAUGCACUUUUAGAUGACGGGAGCAAACAGCUGCCUUUCUAUUUUGCCAUCUGACGUUUUGAUGGGGAGAUGUGAGCCCGGCCCGGGGGGGACAGUAGCGGCGGGAGCGCGCUCGGGUGUUCGGAGCGUUUUCUGGGGUUCACACCACUCAUGCAAGAGGAAACUGGGCACGGCCGUUGCCAGCAGUCAGUGCUAGCACGGUCACUAGCCAGUCUUACUCUGUUAAACCCAAACAUCACUGCAGCUUUCUCAAGCUCUGUCCAUUGUAAUCCAGGAUACACUGCUUUGAAACACUCCCCGUGCAUGGUACAGUUUUAACAUUUUGUUUUUGUUUGUUUUUCGUUCUAUCGUAUCUUUUCGUUCGUUGUUGUACUCUGAAUGUUGGUUACCUGCAGUCACAUGCUUGUAGAAUUUUGUUCUCUUUUCAGAAUGAGUAAAUAAAUUUAUUUUCCCUUUUUAUUUGAAUUUUACUCAUUUCUAACAAUUGAGCUGUAAUUUGACAUUACACAUCCAUGUUACUGAAAGUGCAAUAUGUUUUUUUUGAUUUUUGCAAAAGCUUAUAAUAUAUUUUGCCAAAAAAGGGGUUGUACCAUUAACAAAAUCCUACCUUUCUUUUUUUUUUCUUUGCAUAAUUUUAUUAGACUGGCUUUUAGAGGUUAAUUGACAGCAGGCAUUGUGAUUAGGAAACUGAAUCAUACUUUAAAAGCCAGCUAGCUCUGUGAGAGUGAAGUAACAAAUGUCUUAUGUUAUUUAUGAAAUCAAAAGGAAAAUUAUUUCAUUGUACAUGCCUAGACCAUUUUUGCUUGAAUUUCUUCACUCUAUUCUUUGCUUUCAUUGUGUCACGAUACCACUAAGAUGCAAAAACGCAGUUCACACGGCUGCUUGCCCGGCAGUGCUUGCGUGCUUAUGAGACUGGAUCAAGACAGUCUUGUGGACAGUGGAAGUUUAUUCAGGUUGAGGCCAUGGGGAAUGUGGCUCCAGGGAGAAGGAGUGAUGCCUUUAAAAGUCUUUAACAGUACUACUGUUUACCUCAGAAAAGAUGAGGAAUGGGGGGAGGGGGAAAUAGAUGCCAACCUUGUCUUAACUUUGUUGUGUGGGGGAUACUCUGACUGUUGUCAUCACCUGAAUCAUGCUUUUUAACUUGCCUCAUCGUAGCUGCUUGUGGUCUUUGUUGCAGGUAUGGCAUGAGUUUCUUUGAUUUUCAAAGUGGUUAUUUAUAUGGUGGACAUUUACUGUCACCACUACCAAGAUUAAUUAUUUAUUCAUUGUACAACUGAUGUGUUUGUGAACAUUGGUCACCAUGAAAAGGGCUUUAAUAUGUUUAGGUUUUCUUUGCUGCAAAUCUGUUUUGAAGGUCAACUUGACUAUAUUGUCUCUUAUAAAAGUGAGCAGCGUAUUACAUUUAGAGAAUUCUUCAACCAGUUUGAAGUUUGCAAACUGUCCACAUAACAACUGGAAAAACAAAUUCAAAAAUAUGGUUUAGACAAGAAAAUGGUGAAGACCUGAGUUAUAGAGGGUUUAACUGAACAGCCUGUUUAUGGGAUAUUUUUUGAAAUGCAACACUGCAUGUUGGAGACAUUUAUAUAUAGAUUAUUAUAUACUAUUUGUAAGGAUUUUUACAGAGCACAAUCCAGAAUCUGGUAUGAGUUGGUAUUUUUCUAACAAUUUGCACACCUGUAUUUUGACAAUGAAUAUAACUUGUUUGUAAUUGGUAAUGUAAUGCACAUAUGAUAAUGUUUGACAGUGGAAAAAAAACAACUUUAUUUCUAAUUGGUUGUACUGUACGUACCAUUUGGGGGUGUGAAAGGCAGGUGUACUUGUUUGCGUAUUUUAGGAAAUAACAAGGAACUGUGGGAGACUUUUGAUAUCUCAAGGUUCAUGUUACCCCACUGAUUUGUGCAAAGUCUUUGGAGAUGAAGUUAUGUGUAUAACAAUAAAGAUGUUAUGCCUUGUUAAGCAACA